CAUGCAGCUACAGCGGAGAUAGAAAAGUGGAACAUUACGUUGGGUUGUGCCUCUUUCAACAGCAAUGUUGCAUGUAGUUUGCUUUACACUUAAUUGCUUGCUCGUGACGACAUCAAGCUGAAUAUGAACAUAACAGAUAUUAGCCGAAGUCCGAAUCCAGCUGCCUGGAGCGUCCAACGAUUCCUGACGACCAGAAAAUCUCAUCCGUACAUUUUGGAUUCCUGGCCACGGUUGCUGGCGAUCAUGAAGACGAUUGAGAUCGGGGAAAAAAACUGGUUGGAGUUUGAGGUUAAAACCUCGGAGCUGAAGCUGCGGAGCAUCAAAGAAAAACACAGCAACCAUUUUGCGCCCAGUUUAAC